rnacentral:rRNA from 1 species
UACGAAGGGGGCUAGCGUUGCUCGGAAUCACUGGGCGUAAAGGGUGAGUAGGCGGGUCUUUAAGUCAGGGGUGAAAUCCUGGAGCUCAACUCCAGAACUGCCUUUGAUACUGAGGAUCUUGAGUACGGGAGAGGUGAGUGGAACUGCGAGUGUAGAGGUGAAAUUCGUAGAUAUUCGCAAGAACACCAGUGGCGAAGGCGGCUCACUGGCCCGUUACUGACGCUGAGGCACGAAAGCGUGGGGAGCAAACAGG